GAGUUUGAUCCUGGCUCAGAUUGAACGCUGGCGGCAUGCCUUACACAUGCAAGUCGAGCGGAUGACGGGAGCUUGCUCCCUUGAUUUCAGCGGCGGACGGGUGAGUAAUGCCUAGGAAUCUGCCUGGUAGUGGGGGACAACGUUUCGAAAGGAACGCUAAUACCGCAUACGUCCUACGGGAGAAAGCAGGGGACCUUCGGGCCUUGCGCUAUCAGAUGAGCCUAGGUCGGAUUAGCUAGUUGGUGGGGUAAAUGGCUUCACCAAAGGCGACGAUCCGUAACUGGUCUGAGAGGAUGAUCAGUCACACUGGAA
rnacentral:rRNA from 1 species